GGCAGGUUGGCAGAAAUUCUUAUAUGCGUUCGAUUUAGGCUCGAAAUAUGGGGGGGUAGGGUUCCUCGUCUGCCA
rnacentral:tRNA from 1 species